rnacentral:misc_RNA from 1 species
CCGCUUUUUACUAAAUGCAUAUAGAAAUGUUAUUUUUUACAAUUUUUGUCUGUUUGUCUGUCUGGUUGGUUUCUCAAACAUAUCUGUCGGUUUCCAACACGACUCUGUUCACGUGACUUCAACAACAGAUGACCUCACCGCGUUUACCCGUUACUACUAUAAUAAAGUUAGCUACUUUGAAUUAAAAUUAUUGUUUUCCACGACAUUUUUAAUUUAAUAUUUA